rnacentral:lncRNA from 1 species
CCAGAACAGGUCCUAACAGGGCGUAAUUGCUCCUUCAUGCCGUGACCCCUGAGCAUGGUUUCUGGAGAAACGCGGCCUGGAGGAUGCAUGUGGCCCUGUCCCAGGAGGCCCACUGGCCCCCCAUCGUUUGGGUUGAUUCUCCACUCCCUGAGGCAGCUGCCUCCAGGGACAGCGUGAUGCAUUCCCUCUGUCCUCCCCAGCAGUCUUGAGCUCCCAGCUUCCUCUUCCCUCUCCUCCUUUCACACUUUUGCUCUUCAUUUCUUGUUCCUUUACUCUCACUCUUGAGUUCCAGUUCCUUCCAGAAUUAUCAGGACAAAAACCCAGUCCCCACUAGAACUUAGUGGAGAGAAGAGGAUCAGCUCACUUACCAGCAGAAGCCCUGAUCUUCAGCUGUCCUAAAAAUACCCAGAAGAUACGGUCAGCUCCCAGCGCUAAGCCUGUGCUCUUGGAAUGUUUCUGACACGCUCCUGGAUGGAUCCUGUUAAAUUCUUCCAGGAGUCAAAUAAUAGAGUCGUCAGUUCAUGCCUUUGCCGCGGCCGGGGGCCUGGAAACGGCUGGGGUGGACGCUUCAGGUCCCUGUGCAGAGCAGUGCUCUCACCAGAGUGGCCUGGGAGGGCAAGCAGCGUGUGGCCCCGGCCUUACAUUUUAUUCCUUCUUGCUUGUAGCAGAGGACACACGGGCUGCGCAAGGCUGACACUGGCUGAGCCUUGAGCUGCAUGCUCCGUCUGAGGGCGCUGUGUCAAUAAACGCCCUGUGCACCUGUGCCUGAGGGCAUGUCUUCUGCACGCCGACCCGCCGAGCUCCCUUGGCGUACGGACGCCUACCUGGCCCUGUUGGUCAUGGUGUCUGUCCACACAUUCGUGGCCUGCUUGUGGCUGUGUUUUCUUCCCCCAGCCUUGAGCUCUAAAGCUGAAACCUUUUUGCCUGGUCUUCUACUGGAUGGAAAUCCCAUGGGAUAGCUCUUGCCAGGACAGUGUCAGCCCAAGGUCUUGGGGAAACAGUGAGAGGCGGAAAGCAGGUGGUCAACGCGAUGGAAAAUGGGAUCCCGCUAAAGCGCGUUUCCUCCAGACACUUAGCGUUUUGGAGACGCUAUGGACAGUGGUGUGAGCUCCACCUGCAAUCAGAAAAUGUGGCUCCGAGCGCCAGCUUUGCUGCUCAGCAGCUGGGGGACCCUUGGGCGGUUCCUUAAUUCUUAUGGGCCCCCAUUUCCUUAUCUGGAAAGUGAAGGUUAUAAUAUCUAGUGAAAUAACAAAUGAAAAGAGCCUGUGAACUGCUCUGAGAGCAAUCGAAUGUCAGCUAUUC